AACGAACGCUGGCGACAGGCCUAACACAUGCAAGUCGAGCGAGGACUUCGGUCCUAGCGGCGGACGGGUGAGUAACGCGUGGGAACGUGCCCUUUGCUUCGGAAUAGCCCUGGGAAACUGGGAGUAAUACCGGAUGAGCCCUUUGGGGGAAAGAUUUAUCGGCGAAGGAUCGGCCCGCGUUGGAUUAGGUAGUUGGUGGGGUAAUGGCCUACCAAGCCGACGAUCCAUAGCUGGUUUGAGAGGAUGAUCAGCCACACUGGGACUGAGACACGGCCCAGACUCCUACGGGAGGCAGCAGUGGGGAAUCUUAGACAAUGGGGGAAACCCUGAUCUAGCCAUGCCGCGUGAGCGAUGAAGGCCUUAGGGUUGUAAAGCUCUUUCAGCUGGGAAGAUAAUGACGGUACCAGCAGAAGAAGCCCCGGCUAACUCCGUG
rnacentral:rRNA from 1 species